AGGCCAUCAGGGCACGCGUUUUCUCCUCCACAUCUUGAUCUAUGGCAAAAAUGAUCUUGGCUCUCUCCUCUGCUUUCUUGUCUCCAGAGUUUCUGAAGAGCCUUUCUAGUGAUUCUUGGUCUGUGUUUUCAAAGAUGUUGCCCACGGCUUUCUUACGAGAGGCUGUGUCGAAGUGGUAGCCAUGGAUGGAUGGGCUGACUCGUAGCGACGUGGACAUGAUGACGGCUUGGUGGCUUCGCUUUGCUUUCAUCGAUGUGG
rnacentral:lncRNA from 1 species